rnacentral:lncRNA from 1 species
AUGUGCCUUUUUCCUGGAAGAAGGGAGUGUACCCUGGAGCCUAGCACCCUCCGGAGAGGUCCUGCUGACCAGCCGAGGGGCAGCAGCCUUGCUGGGGGACGUCGUCUGGGAACCACCACUGGCCGGUUGCCGUGGGUUCAGGAGUCCGAGUGCACAGUGGUUGCCUUGGGGAUGCUGGAAGAGGCAGCAUUUCCGGCCAGCCCAGUGAAAUACCACCUCCCCCAGCGUCUCCCGCCAACAGGAAGAACUUCUUGUGUUCCCAUCUCUCUUCUGCUGCCUCUCUGACCACCUCCCUCCUUCAUCCUGACAAGUGCAAACCGAGUCUCCACGUCCAUGUACUUUCACUGCAUUAAAAUUUCCAAGUUGGUACUUUUCCCAUGUUGAGUGCUCUUUGGGUGGAAUGUGCAUGUUGACAUCCACAAAACCCCUUUUCUGCACAGGUAGGUGGCCUGCAGCUCUGCUCAGGAGGGUCUGGUCCAGUCACAUGAGCCUUAGAGAAUGCAUCCUGCCCCGUGUCCUUUCUAUGUUCCAACACCUGGGAUCCCACUGGCUCCUGUUACAACCGAGCCAGGACCAACAGUAACAACACCAGCACCACCCCUGCGACAGCAGCUCCCUUUUAUAAAGCAUCUCUUACCUGCCCAGGUGUAGACUGACUGCUUUCCAUGCGGGCGUGCUUAGUCGCUCAGUCGUGUCUGACUCUUUCUGACCCCAUAGACCGCAGCCCACCAGGCUCCUCUGUCCAUGAGAGUCUCCAGGCAAGAACACUGGAGUGGGUUGCCAUCCCCUCCUCCUAGGGAUCUUCCCAGCUCAGAGAUCGAACCCAGGUCUCCCGCACUGCAGUGGUUUCUUUACCGUCUGAGCCACAGGGGAAGCCUCUUAGCAAUUCUUGCAGCAUCCUCUUGAAUAUGUAAUGUGAUUCCCAUUUUACAGAUGAGAAAACUGAGGCUUGGAGAAAAAUAACUGGAUUUAAUGUCAUACCAAAUUUCCUAAAGGAAAUCAGCCCUGAAUAUUUAUUGGAAGGACUCAUGCUGAAGCUGAAGCUCCACUUCUAUGGCCACCUGAUGUGAAGAGCUGACUCACCUCAAAAGACCCUGAUGCUGGGAAACAUUGAAGGCAGGAGGAGAAGGAGGUGAUAGAGGAUGAGAUGGUUGAGUGGCAUCACUAACUCUAUGGACAUGAGUGAGCAAACUCUGGGAGACAGAGGAGGCUAGGGAAGCCUGGAGGAUAGGGAAGCCUGUCGCACUGCAGUCCAUGGAGUCGGAGUCAGAAAUGACUUAAUGACUGAACAACAGCUAGGAGACUGGGCAUGGUAACUAUUUUUCAGUCUGCUUAGGAACUUUCCUAUUGUCAGAAGUUAAAGAAUAAUUUUCCCCAAAAAAGGCAAAAUCAUGACUCUCCUACUCUACAUGUAUUAAAGAUUUUAUUUGGCUUGGUAAUUAGUGAGGAAACUAGGCAGAUGUUACAGCUAAUCCAAAGGAGAAAUCUAAAAAGUGUAAAUUUACAUGGAGUGAAGGAAAGUGGAGGUGAAUUGACAAAUAGUUGGAAACUGGCUCUUUCCUUAAGGAAGAGGGAAAUCUAUUGAACCACCAGACAGAAUUUAUUUGCAUGUCUAUAGACAAAGAAUUAUUUUGCAUUGCUAUCGGUUAUCUACAACUUACAGGACCGUAAAACAGUGCAAAGACACUGAAAGGCUAGAAUCAGACAGCCUACAAGGAUGUUCUCUGAACGGCCCCAUUUUUUCCAUCAGCAACACCCAGUGAUCUUGGGGAUUUAUUCCAGGUUUCGUCACGGGAACAAGUCUAGACAAUCUUAGCACCUCAUUCUGCCUGAUAAUAGCAGUUAAUAUCAGGAGUGAGAAAUCAGAAUGCUUCCCUGAUGGCUCAGGGGUAAAGAAUUCACCUGCAAUACAGGAGAUGCGAGUUUGAGUCCUGGGUUGGGACGAUCCCCUGGAGGAGGGCAUGGCAGCCCCCUCCAGUAUUCUGGCCUGGGAAAUCCCAUGGGCAGAGGAGCCUGGCGGGCUGCAGUCCAUGGGGUUGCACAGAGUCGGUCACAACUGAAGCACUAACACUUUCGCAACAGAGAGUGCAGGAUAGCAGAUUGGGCGAGGACCUGCUCCUAUCCCUGGUGCCCUGAUGCCGCCCUCCCCCCACACCUCCCCCCAGGGGGUGGGGAUGUUUCUAGAAGGUUCUAGAAGCUGCUACAGUCCUUCCCCCGCCUCAGAUUCUUCCAGCAACCCAGUAUCCUUUCCAGCUACCAAAGCCAAUCCUUGUCACUCUUUUCUGUUUUUUUUCCCUAAGAGCCUUUGAGUUAUAUGUUUUUCCAUGAAGAAUCUUGACUUAUACAGCUAUUAAGUGACAAAGUGAGUUUAAAAACCUCACCUGCCUAAAAUGCAUAGCUGAGUUUUUCAGUUUCCCCACCUGCAAAUAGGGUUAUUAUUGUACCUACCCCGCUGGGUUAUUGUGGAGAUCAGGUACAUCCAUCCAUCUAAAGCUCCGAAAAGAUUGCCUGGUGCCUAAAGUACUCAACACAAGUUCAUUUUAUCAUCAGUUCUAUUUGGCCAAUGGAUAAACUGAGCCGAGGAUGUCAUGAACUUCACCCAAAGUCAUGGACUUGCCACCAUUUAUGAGCAAAUGGCAGGAUGGGCUGCUGAACCCGGGCAGUGAUCAGAGCCUGCUGGCUUCUCUUGGAUGCUGGAGAAGCCAUCUAGGGGCCUCCCUGCAGGUCUGGUGGUUAAGACUUGGAGCUUCCAUUGCAGGGGCCACAGGUUCCAGCCCUGGUUGGGGAACUAAGAUCCCACCUGCUAUGGGGAGUGGCCAAAAUAAAUGAAUAAAUAAACUGCCA